rnacentral:rRNA from 1 species
GACGAACGCUGGCGGCAUGCCUAACACAUGCAAGUCGAGCGAGUUGAUCCCUUCGGGGUGAAGCUAGCGGCGGACGGAUGAGUAACACGUGGGCAACCUGCCUCAUAGAGGGGAAUAGCCUUUCGAAAGGAAGAUUAAUACCGCAUAAGAUUGUAGCGUCGCAUGAAGCAGCAAUUAAAGGAGCAAUCCGCUAUGAGAUGGGCCCGCGGCGCAUUAGCUAGUUGGUGAGGUAACGGCUCACCAAGGCGACGAUGCGUAGCCGACCUGAGAGGGUGAUCGGCCACAUUGGGACUGAGACACGGCCCAGACUCCUACGGGAGGCAGCAGUGGGGAAUAUUGCACAAUGGGGGAAACCCUGAUGCAGCAAUGCCACGUGAGUGAUGACGGCCUUCGGGUUGUAAAGCUCUGUCUUCGGGGACGAUAAUGACGGUACCCGAGGAGGAAGCCACGGCUAACUACGUGCCAGCCGCCGCGGUAA